rnacentral:rRNA from 1 species
UAGGGAAUCUUCGGCAAUGGACGAAAGUCUGACCGAGCAACGCCGCGUGAGUGAAGAAGGUUUUCGGAUCGUAAAACUCUGUUGUUAGAGAAGAACAAGGACGUUAGUAACUGAACGUCCCCUGACGGUAUCUAACCAGAAAGCCACGGCUAACUACGUGCCAGCAGCCGCGGUAAUACGUAGGUGGCAAGCGUUGUCCGGAUUUAUUGGGCGUAAAGCGAGCACAGGCGGUUUCUUAAGUCUGAUGUGAAAGCCCCCGGCUCAACCGGGGAGGGUCAUUGGAAACUGGGAGAAUUGAGUGCAGAAGAGGAGAGUGGAAUUCCAUGUGUAGCGAUGAAAUGCGUAGAUAUAUGGAGGAAAACCAGUGGCGAAGACGGCUCUCUGGUCUGUAACUGACGCUGAGGCUCGAAAGCGUGGGGAGCAAACAGG